GUACUCCAGGCCCCUAUUCUACUAGUGUUCCCUUCACCUAGGGGUAAGGUUUGGGUCGCGUGGAUAGGCCGAUAGGGGUAAAGCAAGGGGCGGCGCCGUGAACCGCAGCAGGCGGGGCGUCGAGUCGAGGUGUGCGGGCGGGUGAGGGAGGCGGCGUUCGCUACCGCUGGUAGUGGUGCGUCGAGGCGAGGCGCGAGGAGAGGGGCCGGCGGAGCAGCAGCAGCAGGAGGAGGGGCGCGGCGCCGCCGGCCGCGCGCGGGAGGAGGCAGGCGACGCUGCGGAGAGGGGGCCGCCGCAGGCGCAGCCGGAGGGAGCUGGGCCUGAAGCUGUUCUUCCGGAAGGCGGUGUUGGAGUGGGCGUCGCUGUUGAUGUUGGCGUUCCCGAAGCCGGUGUUCUUCCUCUGGGAGCUCGAGUACUCGGUCCUCAUGUGGUCGCUACAUUAUUUCUGCGAGUUCCUGUUGCCCUUGCUCAUGUGGACCCCCGGCCACUGGCACUUCGACCGCCUCCGGAUGCCGAAGACGACCCCGCAGCUCGCGCGGCACGUCUAGCGGAUGCUCCGCGCGUUCGUCAAGGGGCUCCUCGCGUAGACCUAGUGGUUGCUCUAGUAGGUGUUGGGGUGCCAGUUGUUCUUUAACCUCCUGUACCCACAGUUUCUAUAAGGACAAUUACGACCAUAAUUCCUAAAACUACAAUAACUUGUUCCACUACAACAGCAGAACGGACGUAAACCUCGACGACACCUACUCUACAUGUGUGAUUUACUCUUCUUGCACGUUUAACAACUAUGUUGUACGGGAACCCAAAGUUUCCACACCUUGUACCAACUCUUCGUAUUCUUCCCGCUGAUAUGAAGAUAAUAAGUGCCUUUUAUACGGGUACUUCUCUGACAACGGUGACGAAGAAAACGUCCCUUCAUGUAAUAACACUUCUUAUACCGGCUCCGUUGUAUACAUACACUGAUAUAUGAACCACCGGUUGAACUACCUAGAUCGAGUUGAUCUCUCCUCAAGGAACUCUUUAAGUUUUUCCGACAAAGAGGUCCUAAGCUAGGACUACAACUGAACCUUUUCCGCCCGUAACGUUUAGUUUGUUGUUACGAAUUUCCUCUUUGACUUCUUUAACCUUUUGAACAACUCUUCUGAUACUACGCAUUCAUACCUCAGCUCUUACGGUUACUUGUGAAACAACGGAAGUUGUGAUAAACACUACGGUGUGUCCUUUCUGUUCUACGCUACAUAGUGGAUCACUUCCUUUUCCAACUGGAAUAAGACCAAUAACCUCCCACCUUGAGGUCAUUAUGGAGAGUAGACGUUCUUUAACCUCUUGAGUCACCUUAAGGCAGGAUGACCUAACUGUCACUUGUUUCCUAACCUGGUCCUUUGUCCUAAUCGAUGUUCGAUUUAGUGCCACUUGAAUAACUCCGGCUUUUGACCGAUGGUUUUCCCGGAUAGUGUUAACCUCAAUGAAGACCACGGAGUUGAGGUCUGUUCCAACAGCUCCUAUGCGAUGUGUUCCACAAACUGUAGUUCGCAGUUCUUCAAAACGUCCAACGUAUCUAAAAGUCGUUUUUACCAGUCCCCUAUUAUUAUCGACUACCGGACCGUUUCCAAUCAUCUUGGCAACUUGUUGGAUAGCAACAUGUCAUCGAUUCUUACAUUACGAAAUCGUGUAUGAAGAUGUUCUUAUAGACACGACCCUAUGUAUAUAUACAACAUUAGUGAACAUGGUGCUUGUCAACAUGUGAACAUAAGACGAUAUUGGGAAACGGGAACUUUUUAACAAAAGUAUCCGACCAAUGUAUCUAUAGUUGGUGACCCCAAACAACAACCUAUCUCCAGUUUACGCCCUGAGGGACAUAUACCGUUCACGUUCUUUACGUCCCAAAGGACACAUAUAAUCCCCCGUUCAGGUUAAGGGUAAGACUAUACAAUUACACAGUAAACAACAUUAUUCAUGAUCUUAAAUUGAAAAGAGACAUAAGUGAAAGACACAAACCAUACAAUGAAUGUCUCAUGUAUCUAAAAAAAACGAAAAAACGUCUCAUGUAUCGAAUGGGGUCAGUGAAUAGGACACAAGUACAGCGAUUACCUCGUAACCUCGAACUUUAAACUUUAAAAGUUUUUAGUUUACAAAUCCAAAGUUUUUUCGGGACUUUUUUUAAUACAUAUAUGGAUACCUAGAUAUGAUGAACGGACAUUUGAAAGUACUGCUUUUUGUAUACGAUCGAUGUAUUUUGAUCGGUUUAGUACAUAAAGAUGAAAAGAUCGUGUACAUGGUAAGUCAAAAAAAACAUGUUGAGUGUAGUUUCGCAUAAAAAAAUCUUUGUGUUAUGUCUACGAGUGCUUGUGUAUGUAUAUGAGUAGGAACAAUUGCGCGUGUGGAUGACAGAGGGUGAUUUACUUAUAAAGCGGAAAUAUUCUGUGUUUUUCAGUUUGAACUUCAAAUUAGGAACCAACCGAUCUCUAUGUGACGGGGGGAUUAGUAGGUUGGUAUUCAAUCAAGAGUGUAGUUUUGUAUAAAGCAUUACUUUUAAAUAUAUGUAGAUCAUAUGUAGAUGUUCAUAAACACAUAAAUAAAAAGUAAAAAAAACUUUGAUCUUUUCAAUAAAAAACUCAAAAACUUUUAAGACCUGAGGUACCUCGGGCUCUCGAUCUUUCGGAGUGAGGUGACUAAUGUACCUAUAAUUGGUGACUCAAAUAACAACCUAUCUCGACCUUACGUACUAAGGGACAUAUAUCGUUCACGUUCUUCACGUCCCAAAGGAACAUCAUACACUUCACAUACUAUGAGGGAGGCGUUUCUUUAUAUUCUCGCAAAUCUAGUGAUGAAAUUACUACAUUUACGAGAAUAUAAAGAAAUGCUUCUCUCAUAUUCCGAAGAAUCUCUAAAGUUAUGUCUACAUAUAUCUGUAUAAGAUCUACAUCGAAGUGAAUAAAAUGAGACAUACAUCAAGUAUAAUCUUAGAGAUGACUUAAAUAAACGUCCACGUACUAAGGGACAUACUAGGUUAGGACACAACAUUAUCUUAAAGUGAAAAGAGACUUAGAUAAAGGAUACAAACCGUACAAGGUAAGUAUAUAAUGAUACAGUGGAUCGUGACAUUAUCUUAAAGUGAAAAGAGAAUUAGAUAAAGGAUACAAACCGUACAAGGUAAGUAUAUAAUGAUACAGUGGAUCGGAACCAAGUGCACCGGCGGCUUUGUUUGUGUUUAAAUGUCUCGUACUUUAAUUAGGUUCGUCGGUGACAUUUAAGAGAGCCUUAAAUGAGGGAGAUAACUAGAUACAUCCCCAUCCCGUGCGUUCGAAAGGUUCUAGGUGCGAAACU
rnacentral:rRNA from 1 species